rnacentral:rRNA from 1 species
AGAGUUUGAUCCUGGCUCAGGAUGAACGCUAGCGGCAGGCCUAACACAUGCAAGUCGAGGGAGAAGCCUUCGGGCUGAAACCGGCGCACGGGUGCGUAACGCGUAUACAAUCUGCCUUUCACAUAGGGAUAGCCCGAAGAAAUUUGGAUUAAUACCUAAUGGUAUAUAGGAGCGGCAUCGUUUUUAUAUUAAAGCUACGGUGGUGAAAGAUGAGUAUGCGUUCUAUUAGCUAGUUGGAGAGGUAACGGCUCCCCAAGGCGAUGAUAGAUAGGGGUUCUGAGAGGGAUGUCCCCCACACUGGUACUGAGAUACGGACCAGACUCCUACGGGAGGCAGCAGUGAGGAAUAUUGGACAAUGGUCGGAAGACUGAUCCAGCCAUGCCGCGUGCAGGAUGACGGCCUUAUGGGUUGUAAACUGCUUUUGUAAGGGAAGAAUAAGGGCUACGCGUAGUUUGAUGACGGUACCUUAUGAAUAAGCAUCGGCUAACUCCGUGCCAGCAGCCGCGGUAAUACGGAGGAUGCGAGCGUUAUCCGGAAUCAUUGGGUUUAAAGGGUCCGUAGGCGGGCUAAUAAGUCAGAGGUGAAAGCGUUCAGCUCAACUGAGCAACUGCCUUUGAAACUGUUGGUCUUGAAUGGUUGUGAAGUAGUUGGAAUGUGUAGUGUAGCGGUGAAAUGCUUAGAUAUUACACAGAACACCGAUAGCGAAGGCAUAUUACUAACAAUUAAUUGACGCUGAUGGACGAAAGCGUGGGGAGCGAACAGGAUUAGAUACCCUGGUAGUCCACGCUGUAAACGAUGGAUACUAGCUG